rnacentral:rRNA from 1 species
CACCGGCGGCCCGAGUGGUAGCCGUUAUUAUUGGGUUUAAAGGGUCCGUAGCCGGCUUAUUAAGUCUCUUGGGAAAUCUGGCGACUCAAUCGUCAGGCGUUCAAGAGAUACUGAUAGGCUUGGGACCGGGAGAGGUGGGAGGUACUCCAGGGGUAGGGGUGAAAUCUCGUAAUCCUUGGGGGACCACCGAUGGCGAAGGCAUCCCACCAGAACGGGUCCGACGGUGAGGGACGAAAGCUGGGGGCACGAACCGGAUUAGAUACCCGGGUAGUCCCAGCUGUAAACGAUGCUCGCUAGGUGUCAGGUGCGGUGCGACCGCAUCUGGUGCCGUAGUGAAAACUUGAAGCGAGUCACCUGGGAAGUACGGUCGCAAGGCUG